GUACAUGGAAGAUUGCAAUAUUAUUUAUUGAACUAUUAUCUUUUGUGAAGAAACAGAUGAAAUCCUUACACAAAUUAGUUAGAAUCUAAAAUCAAAGUUUUUUCUUAACUACCAAAUAACAUCUUACUUGUUCUUAUAAUGAGAAAAUAAAACAAUGAGAUGAAUAUCCUUGGAAGACAAGUUUAAUUAUUAACACAAAUGAUAAAACAACCUUUUAUACCAAUACUAGUGUGUAUGUAUUUAGCAAAGAUUUCAUAUAUAUAUAUAUAUAUAUAUAUAUAUAUAUAUAUAUAUAUAUAUAUAUAUAUAAUAACUAAACACUAAAAAAUGUUGGAAAGGGUGAAGGACUUAUAAAAAAAAAAACAAGAUCAAUAAUCAGAAACAUAUUAAAAAACUAACAUAAGAUUAACAUAAUUAUCCUUACCUAUAUCCACAAAAAAAAAAUUCUACAACAUCGACUACAUUCGAGUUAAUUCAUAUUCAAGCACAAAUCCUAGUUAUUCAUAUUCAAGUACAUAAUCUUCUUUUAUUUUAUUCUUUUUGGAAAAUAAUCUUCUUAGGGAUAAUUUAGGAACUUAAAGUAUUUUUCGGAUCUAGAAUAACCGUAUCUAAGACUAGAGAUACAUGAUAAAUUUAUACAAAAAUCAAAUCCUAAUUUCUAAUUUUUUUUAAACAACGAGGACUAUUUUUUGGUUUAAAAUUCUUUGUUUUUAGGACAAGGUAAGGUUAUUUCUAGAAUUUUUUUUUAAAUUUCUUUCUUCUUUUACAAGUAUUAUUUUUUGUUUGAAAUUCUUUGUCCUUAUAAGAAGGCAAGGUUGAGUUAAUGAUACAUUAAUGACAUAUAAAUGUCACUUUUCGAGAUUAAAAAUAUUCAUUUCUUUUUGAAGCUUUUAUAUUAAUAUAUAUUCAUCUGAAUGGAUAUACCUCACGCACGCAGGGGAGAUGUCGUUCUUGGUUUUGUUACGAAGACUCCAUCGAGAGAGAGAGAGAGAGAGGGCGAUUGGAGUGUCGUCGUCGAUUAUGGUACGAAGGCUUCCGUCAUUGAUGAGCUCCGUCGACAAAAUUGGUUCUGGGGAUUGCUUAAAUCGGCACCGUCAAGUUAGCGCGACAAGAAAGUGCACACCAGAGAGAAUCCUCCGUACUCCCGGAAGGUCACAAACUCACUUGUAUCAUUUGUUCUGGUGACGAGUCAAGGAGCUGGGACAAAAUUAUCGCAGGACUCCCACACAGGUCCCUUCUUUUUCUCUUCAGAACUGCCGCAAUUGAUUUGGUGUAUUAAAGUUACUUCCAGGUUGUCAAUUUCUUUUCUUUUUGAUAGAAAUGUUCAAUGAAUCGUGUUUGCCUGAAGAAUA